UACGUAGGGUGCAAGCGUUGUCCGGAAUUAUUGGGCGUAAAGAGCUCGUAGGCGGUCUGUCGCGUCGGCUGUGAAAACCCAGGGCUCAACCCUGGGCCUGCAGUCGAUACGGGCAGGCUAGAGUCCGGCAGGGGAGACUGGAAUUCCUGGUGUAGCGGUGAAAUGCGCAGAUAUCAGGAGGAACACCGGUGGCGAAGGCGGGUCUCUGGGCCGGAACUGACGCUGAGGAGCGAAAGCGUGGGGAGCGAACAGG
rnacentral:rRNA from 1 species